rnacentral:rRNA from 1 species
UACGAAGGGGGGCUAGCGUUGUUCGGAAUUACUGGGCGUAAAGCGCACGUAGGCGGAUAUUUAAGUCAGGGGUGAAAUCCCAGAGCUCAACUCUGGAACUGCCUUUGAUACUGGGUAUCUAGAGUAUGGAAGAGGUGAGUGGAAUUCCGAGUGUAGAGGUGAAAUUCGUAGAUAUUCGGAGGAACACCAGUGGCGAAGGCGGCUCACUGGUCCAUUACUGACGCUGAGGUGCGAAGGCCAGGGGAGCAAAGCGGG